rnacentral:lncRNA from 1 species
UUUUUUUUUUUUUUUUUUUUUUUGUAAAUAAAUCGUUAAAGCUCUUCCGUGCCGCUUCUGGUUUCCACACGCGUGUGAGGGCUAAAAGUAGCUGUGACGCGCGUUCGCUGCUGUUUUCCUUUGUCGGGCGGGCGGAUUUAACGCCUAAUAUGUCUUCUCGCCCGCUAUUCCGCCUCUCCUCCGAGCCGUCUUUGUUUAGGCAUCCCCAUCUUUUAUUGCCGCUGACCGCCGGAAUGUUGUUGGUUUUCUCCCCCCCCUCCCCCUGCACCUCAUUUCAUAUAUAGGAAAGGAAAGAAAAGAAGGAAAAAGUCGAAGAGAAAGCCAUCCACAAAGAAAAGAAGAAGGAGAUAGAUGAGGAAAAUGGAGCUGACGAGGAUGAUGAAGAGAAUCCUGAUGAUGUAGAUGAAGAAGAGGGUGGUGAUGAGGACGAAGAUGAGAAUGGGCAGGAGCAGGAUGGCCACGCAGAGAAACGAUCUGCAGAGGAGGAGGAGGUGAGUAGUAGUGUGAGAAUAAUGGUGGGGAGAAGGAAUGAGGCUACUUGCUGUUUGUUGACCCAAUCCAUGUGGAUGCUGCUGCUGAGAAUCUCAAAUUGGCCUCGGGUCUCAUUGCUUCAGGAGCAGACGGGUAAACAAAUCUGAUGUGGCAAGGGGAUAGUAAAUCACUGUAUGCUCCUUGUAGGGAUCCAGAUCCUUCCACCAGCAGUUGUGGUGCUGAGUGAGAGAGAGAGUUAAGGUGCUGGAGGUUGUGCUUGGCAAUGACCUCUGAACUACCUGUGCCUUCUGGGCCUCAGGCCAGGAGAUAGAGUUGUAAGGGUGCGGUGAUUGAAGGGUCUGAUCUUCGACAUUAAGGGCAGGCCCUGAGGUCUGUCUGGAGUGGUGUGAGCCUCAGCUUCUCACACCUCCUGGAAGUAACAGCCGUGGGUGUGGUGUCCCUCUGAAUGGAACUGUCCACAUCUUCACCACAACAGAACAGCUGUGUCAGGCACUCCAGAGUGUUUUAGAGAGGAGUGGAUUUAGGGUGGGCCUAACAGAGAUUUCCAUAUGGAGGAAAGAGCGGCAGUUACGAGUUUUGUGGAGAAUUAUGUACCUUGGGGUGGUGACUGUUUGAUGGUAACUCUUUCUCUUUCCUCCCAUGGCUGAUGCAGGAUGAAGUGGAUCCAAAGAGACAGAAGACAGAAAACGGCUCUUCAGCUUGAGUCCUCCCUCCCAUCCCCCUGUUCCGCCCAUCUCUCCUCCUCCAUUCCAGCCUGUGCUUGCACUGCCCGUUAGCCUCUGGCUUCACGCAAUCUCAGAUGAGGAAAGAUUAGAAAUGCUCUCAAACAGGGGAAGACAGCAGUUCCCUUCUCACCCAAAGGACCUAGUCCGUCCAUGACCUUCCCCAGCUGAAAUUAUCCCUGUCCCCUGCAGCCCUUCACUGCACCCCCCUUACCAGCGCUCCUGUUCCCUCAAGAAUCUCAUGGUUUCCUGGGCACACAGCCUUGCCAGGCACUUCACGUGGGCAAAGCACCUCCCGUCCCCUUGUCACCUGCCUGCCUGUUUUUGUCACUGGUAUGAGAUUCUUGAGAGCUCCCGCCCAGCCCUGCUGCCAGAGCUCCUGCCAGAGCCAGGAGGUGCAGGCACAGAUCUCGUGGUGCGUUCCCCAGUCCUAGGCCUCUUCUCAUCUGCUUUCCUGCUGAACCCUGAGAGACAAAAGAAAGAAUAUUACAAGCAAAUAAUGGUUCUAUUAAGCAACACAUGGAGACAGGAUUUAUUUUAAGCUUUUCUUUUUUUUUUUUUCCGAGUUUACAUUGACAGCAAGCUGGCCCUCGUGAAUUUUUUGAAAGAUAAGGGUUGUUUUAUAUACGAAUUUCAUCUGAGCUGUGUAUUUUUUUAAUUUGGAGGCUUUUUUAAAACAAAUCAAGAAGAGACACCAAUUGGGACCAAAACUUUGAUUUCCAUUUUUCCCUUCAGAUUUUCUUGUGACCAUUUUUUGUAAAUUAAAGGCAAUAUAGCCACAGCGUUUUCUAUGGCACAGACAUCACGAGGAUGAUAGAUAUAAAUAUAUAUAUUGUUUUCAACAAGCACUGUAAAUAAAAAGCGUUUAAAAUGUUUC